rnacentral:rRNA from 1 species
AUGCUAGAGAAGAUUAGGCACAAGAUGACACUUAGAGUUCAAGAGAACAAAACCAAGAGUGACAAGUGGACUGCUAGUAAUACGGAGAUAUGCCCAAACAUUUUCAAGAAGCUUAAGGUGGCCAUAAAAUUGACUCAGUUCUGUGAUGUGCUUUGGAAUGGGAAGGAAGGGUUUGAGGUAAAACAUGUGAGUGGCAGAGGAAGGAGCUAUACCGUGAAUUUGGAUAAAUGGACUUGCUCCUGUGGUUAUUUCCAGCUGGCAGGGCUACCUUGCUGCCAUGCCAUCAAUGCCAUAUACAAGUGUGAAAAAAAAGUAUCCGACUUCAUUCACAAAUGUUAUUCAGUUGAGAAAUUUAAGAAAGUAUAUGAGCACUGCUUGGAGCCAGUUGAAGGUGAGGAAAGAUAUGGCCUAUCUCUGACAAGCCUAGACCACAAGAACAUGGUUAUGUGA